CUUGCUAUUUGCUGACGAGUGGCGCACGGGUGCGUAACGCGUAUACAAUCUACCUUUUGCUGAGGGAUAGCCCAGAGAAAUUUGGAUUAAUACCUCAUGGUAUUAUUGAUAGGCAUCUAUUAAUAAUUAAAGGUUACGGCAAAAAAUGAGUAUGCGUCCCAUUAGCUAGUUGGUGAAGUAACGGUUCACCAAGGCAACGAUGGGUAGGGGUCCUGAGAGGGAGAUCCCCCACACUGGUACUGAGACACGGACCAGACUCCUACGGGAGGCAGCAGUGAGGAAUAUUGGACAAUGGGCGAGAGCCUGAUCCAGCCAUGCCGCGUGCAGGAAGACUGCCCUAUGGGUUGUAAACUGCUUUUAUACAGGAAGAAUAAGCCUUACGUGUAAGGUGAUGACGGUACUGUAAGAAUAAGGACCGGCUAACUCCGUGCCAGCAGCCGCGGUAAUACGGAGGGUCCGAGCGUUAUCCGGAAUUAUCGGGUUUAAAGGGUCCGUAGGCGGAUGAUUAAGUCAGGGGUGAAAGUUUGCAGCUCAACUGUAAAAUUGCCUUUGAUACUGGUCAUCUUGAGUUGUAUUGAAGUAGGCGGAAUAUGUAGUGUAGCGGUGAAAUGCAUAGAUAUUACAUAGAACACCAAUUGCGAAGGCAGCUUACUAAGUACUAACUGACGCUGAUGGACGAAAGCGUGGGUAGCGAACAGGAUUAGAUACCCUGGUAGUCCACGCCGUAAACGAUGGAUACUAGCUGUUCGGAACCUUGAGUUCUGAGCGGCUAAGCGAAAGUGAUAAGUAUCCCACCUGGGGAGUACGUUCGCAAGAAUGAAACUCAAAGGAAUUGACGGGGGCCCGCACAAGCGGUGGAG
rnacentral:rRNA from 1 species